AGCAUCCCAAUCCAAAAUUUGAUUUCACCAAAGAAUCUAUUUCUGGAAAAUCUCAAAAUGAAUCCAACAAUGAAAAGCUAUGGUGCUGCUGGAUACUCUCCUGUGGAAGAGCUUCUUCUCUAGAUUCACUGAUGAGUCAAAUCUAAAUGAAGACAUUCUUUAGAAAGCAUCAUGGAAAUAUGUGCCAAUUUUU